ensembl:lncRNA
AAGGAAUCCAGGAGAAAACGGACCAGAGAGAUCCAGAACGGACCAAAGAGAUAUACAGAGAGAACCUUUGUUAUAGUUAAAGUAUUUUUGUUCGGCUUUAAAGACAAUAAAACGAUCUCCCGCUGAGGGACGACAACUCUGCCUGCUCUCACUCAUUUGGAACCCGUUACAGUGGAGCCCAACGUGGAGCUAGAGUGCAGGAAUAAUGGACCAGUCCCCAUUGGGAAAUGUACUCGGGCACCUGGCCCAGAUGGCGGAGAGACAAGGCCAGCUCCACCAGGCGCAGAACGAGGUGCUCUCGGACCUGGCCCAGUCCUUGUCCGCCGAUCGGGCCAUGCUCCGGGAGCUCCUCGCCUCCGGCGGACGCGACGAAGGACCCCGAGGGGUGGGACCCGCAGCGCACAUACACGUCCCGAAGAUGGGCGAGGCAGACGACGCGGAAGCCUUUAUCGAGACUUUCCAGGGGGUGGCCGAGGUUUCAGGGUGGCCUCGCCCGGAGUGGGCGCACCGUCUCAUGCCGCUCCUAACAGGAGAGGCGCAGCUCGCGGACCACAGUCUGCCGGCCGGGGCCCAGCGAGACUACGACGCCAUCACCAGGGCCAUCCGAGACCGGCUGGGCCUCUACCCGGAGGAACAUCGAUGGCGGUUCCGGGCGCUGGCCUUCAGUGAGGGGGACCGACCCUUCGCCUUCGCCCAGCAGCUGAGGGACCAGGCAAGGAGGUGGCUGGUCCCAGACCGGAACACGGCGGAGGACGUGGUGGAGCAGGUGGCCCUGGAGAGGUUUGUGGAGGGGCUGCCGGCUAGGACCUCCGCCUGGGUCCGAUACCACCGUCCCGAGAGUCUCUCCGCCGCGGUCGUCCUGGCGGAGAGCCACCUGCAGCCACCACCAGCGAGCCAGCGACCACCGACACCGAGCCCACGUACCGUGAGGAGAAAGGAAUCCAGGAGAAAACGGACCAGAGAGAUCCAGAACGGACCAAAGAGAUACUCUGAGAGAACCUUUGUUAUAGUUAAAGUAUUUUUGUUUGGCUUAAAAGACAAUAAAACGAUCUCCUGCUGAGGGACGACAACUCUGCCUGCUCUCACUCAUUUGGAACCCGUUACAGUUGUUACUUAGGCUCCAGAGAUAUGACAUAGA